UCUCCUCAGUCCCCAGACAUUUGCACACUGUUAUAAAAAGAAGAGGGGAUGAACACAGUGGUAAACACAGCCUUGUCCCAACUUUUUUGAGAUGUGUUGAUGCCAUGAAAUUUAAAAUCAACUUGUUUUUUCCUUAAAAUUAUACAUUUUCAGUUUAAACAUUUGAUAUGUCAUCUAUGUUGUAUUCUCAAUAAAAUAUUUAAAUUUGAAACUUCCACAUCAUUGCAUUCUGUUUUUAUUCAGAAUUUGUACAGUGUCCCAACCUUUUUGGAAUCAGGUUUGUAUAAUACUUUCUCGUUUGCCGUCAGCAUUAAUUAAACUUGUGAUUUCAAAUUAUGCUGCGCUUUAUGCAUUCGCCCACUUGUCAUAUUCAUGUCAUUUUCACUGUGUGCUGUAUGUAAAAUGAGGUUUCCCUAGCCUUAUUUUAAUAAUAUUAUUCCCAGUGCACACAAACUUCCCAGAAUACUGAGUAUCCUGUUGAUUACACUUCCUUUUUAUUAUACUUUUAUUAAAUAUUUAUUUAUUUGAUCAAAUAAACAUUUUUUUUUUUCCAAGAUAAAAUCCCGACAUCCUCACCCGCACCCAGUUAUGAACAACACAACAUAAGCAAUGCUGCAGGGAGGAUUUCUGAUAGUAACCAGACAAAAACAUCAAUCUCACUCCCACACACCAUCUUACAACAACACAACACCAGCACCACUGCAGGUAACUGUAUUUAACAUUAUACAGUAUUUCUUCAGAUUUUAUUAUUAUUUACCAGUUAAGUAGUUUUCGGUCUAUAUUAUGUAAAUAAAUAAGCAUUUAUUUUAGAUUAUGCAGUUUAUGGUAAUAAUAAUCAAUUUCAGUUUUCAUUAUAUUUUUGUACACUGCAAAAAUCUGGAACCAUGUUGAGUCACCAUGUGAUGUCCAACUACCUUAAAUCCCAUAUAACUGGACUGUGUCAACAUGUUUAUGAGAUGAAAUUUUCAUUUGAUAAAGUAACCAUUACAAUUUUUACUAAAGAUAAAGUCCCGACAUCCUCACCAGCACCCACCUCACAACAACACAACAUCAGCACUGCUGCAGGGAGUAUUACUGAAGGUUACCAGACAAACACAUCAAUCUCACUCCCACACACCAUCUUACAACAACACAACACCAGCACCACUGCAGGUAAAUGUGUGUGUAUACUAAUUUAUCAGCUUUAAUUUAAAUUAUUCAUUUAAUUUAUUAUUAUUUAAUUGAUUGUUAUUUAAAUGAAUGCAUACAGUUUUUGUCACGCCCCCGGGCUGAUCUGUCUGUUUUUCCCCAUAGUGUGUGUUGUUUACACUUACCAUGUGCUUCUGUGUCACCGUGGUGCCCGUCUCCGCCCUCUUGUUUCAUUAUUAUCUUGUUAUUGGUCACCAUCACCUGCUCUGCAUUAUGAUAAUCACUCCUUCUCUAUUUAGUCUCCUCAUGUGUGCUGUCUGUUGUCAGAUCGUCGAGUUGUUUUCGUCCAUGUCUCAACUUUAUCCACAUCUCUUGUUUAGCCUACACAGAGAUCGUGCCCGUUUUGUUUUCAUCCUCUAGUUUGUUUGUUUUUUCCCACUUCCUCCUGCUUUCAGGCAGCGCUACUCUCCAGCCUUCCGUGUUAGAGCUCACCGAUCGCUGUCACUCCUCUUCUUCGCCGCGCCACAGCGCGCCUCCAGUUCCCCGCCUCAACAGCGCCCCCGCCUCCCUGUCAGUUUGUCCGGGCAUUGCAUCAGAGGAUUUCCUAGUGGAAUUCGUCCAGGAGGCUCUUUUGGAUCUGCUCCAGACUGCCCUGUUCCUGGAUAGUUUUUUGUUAAUUCUCAUUUUUUUUUUUUCUCUGUCCUUUGGAAUUAAGCCAUCUAAUAAACUGACCUUUUGAGCAUCUGCAACUGAGUCCCAGUCUCGCCCCUU
rnacentral:lncRNA from 1 species